UACGUAGGGGCAAGCGUUGUCCGGAUUUAUUGGGCGUAAAGCGUGCGCAGGCGGCUUUGUAAGUCAGAUGUGAAAUCCCCGGGCUUAACCUGGGAACUGCGUUUGAAACUACAAGGCUAGAGUGUGGCAGAGGGGGUGGAAUUCCACGGUGUAGCAGUGAAAUGCGUAGAGAUGUGGAGGAACACCGAUGGCGAAGGCAGCCCCUGGGUUAACACUGACGCUCAGGCACGAAAGCGUGGGAGCAAACAG
rnacentral:rRNA from 1 species